UACGUAGGUGGCAAGCGUUGUCCGGAAUUACUGGGUGUAAAGCGCGUGUAGGCGGCAGGCCAAGUCUGCGGUGAAAGCGCCCGGCUCAACUGGGCGAGGUCCGUGGAAACUGGUCAGCUGGAGGACGGUAGAGGCGAGUGGAAUUCCCGGUGUAGUGGUGAAAUUCGUAGAUAUUGGGAAGAACACCGAUGGCGAAGGCAGCCAUCUGGACCGACACUGACGCUGAGGCGCGAAAGCGUGGGGAGCAAACAGG
rnacentral:rRNA from 1 species